UUUUAUAUAAGCCAUCCAUCUGUUUUGAUAUCGUAUUUUAGGGUAUGAGCCUAAAAAAGGAGGUAUAUUGAAGCCUCAAGUGGACCACACAAUAGUAAACACUAGAAAUUAUGUGCAUAUUGGUGAAAGUUAUUUUGGAGUGGUGUGGUUGAUUUGGGCCUUCAAUCUGCGUCAUUUUUGGUUUCAUGUCCUAUCCAUGGUUACCUAAAUGAAUGGACUGCGUGGAUAAGACACAUCCAUCAUGGUGGCCCCCACGAAGCCCCUGAGAUCACCGUCCAAAAUUAUAGCCCAAGCAUUGGCUGGGAAGCGGAUUGGCUAUUUGGUGUGUUGACGUCACCAAGUGUUGUGGGUCCCAUCAUGACGUAUGAGUUAUCCAAACCGUCUAUCCACUUGGCGACCUCGUUGUAAGGCUUGAGACGAAAAAUAGGACAGAUCAAAAAAUUAAGUGGACCACACUGUAUAAAGCAGCGGAGGAUUGAACACCUGCCAUCCAAACCCUUUUGACGGUCAUGGAAAUUUUGGAUUCAGCCGCCUAAAGGCUAUCUCUCUCCUCUCCCUCUCGCUCCAAAAGGAAAAAAAAAAAAACCCUCCCUCUCCCUCUCACUCUCUCGUGCUCCCCCGCCGUCUCCCUCUCCCUCUCUCUCUCUCUCUCUCGUGCUCCCUCUCUCAAUCUUACUGCUACUCAGCUUGUGGACGGAAGGUUUCUUCCUAUCAGGUAAAAACAGAGGGUUUCUUCCCAUCUCGCUGCCACUCUCCUUAUGGACGGAAGGUUUCUUCCCGUCAGGUAAAAACAAAGGGUUUCUUCCCGUCAGCCCCUCAUCGUCCUUGGUAUCUCUCUCUCUCUCUCUCUCUCUCUCUCUCUCUCUCUCUCUCUCUCUCUCUCUCUCUCAAAUAUUCAAUGUCCAAACCCUAUUCCGUUUUCUUCUAUUUGUUUUCUUUCAUCUCUCUAUUUUUUUUUCUUUUUAAUGCCCAAUUGGUUGAUUCAAAUACCAUAAAAUUUCUUGAGAUUUUGUACUGAAAUUAGACUGAUUAAUCAUGAUAUUUGGUGCAUUUUCGUCUAAUAUCUUUGUGCAUUUUCAUUUAAUAUCGUUGUGCAUUUCAUGAGAUUUAGUUUUAAUGCUCUUUGGUUUAUUCAAAGCCUCAUUGAAUUUUGAGUUUCGUCUAAUAUCUUUGUGCAUUUCUGUUCUAUGCCUCGUAUUCUGGUGCUACUUUAAUAUUACUUUUGCUUAUUUCCUUGGGUUGUUCCCUGUUGUAUGUGGAAUUGUACUUAAGGCCCCUAUUGUUUGUUUUGGGCCUUUGGUUCUCAUUGGUUGGGAUUGCUCUAAUAGUGUGAAUUUAAAUAUGCACAUUUCCAAUGGAUUCACCAUUUGAUGCAGAAACCCGUGCAUCAGUGCCACAAAUGAGGAGUAUGAGUUACUUUUUAAACUCUGCAUAAUUACCAUAGGAAUGCUAGUGGUAACUGAGUAUACUUGGGUUUUUAGUUCUAGUAAGUGGGAUAGUUAGUCCAUAAUCUAGGCCAUUAAUCUGUUGCACCCCAUUAUAGAUGGAGACGACCCCAAGAUAAUUUUGACUCUAGGAUGUAAAAAAUCAAUGGUCUAUAUUACCAAACCAGUGGUCCCACUUGUCACAAUUGGAAACACCUGUAUACAAGUGUGGCCCAUGGUUUGGCAAACCUUUGAUUUGUGUUUCAUCUCAACAUGGUUGGAUUGAAACACAAAAAUCUUCUUGAUAAGACUAGUAUAACCUUCCAUUUGUGGCCAUAUGCGCCGACUAGAGGGUAAAUAAAAUAACAGUCCCCAUUUAACUAAGAAAGUGUUUGGGGCAUAACUUUUCUGUAUGAUGAUAUUCAUUGUAGAAUGAAUCGAUUCAUACUGUAAAUUUGAGUCCAUACUCAUCUUUUGAUUUUUAGGUUGCAAAUGGAUUAUCACCACUACUAAAACUUUAUCCAAGCAGAAUCUCCAAAAUUACUAGGGAAUUGAUUUGGUUUUGUUUUGGAUUUUUGAGUUUCUAAGUCCAAUUGCAUAAUCCAAUGCAAUCAUUCCAUUUAUGUUUUUUUUAAUUUUUUAAUUUUUUUUAAAAAAAUUUCACAAUGAUUGAUUGCUUUUAUUUGGCUGGACGUUGAAAAGGGAACUAAUGACCUAUAACUGGUUGUAGUUUACCUAACAUAUAAUCUACUUUUACAAGCAUUUUCUGCCAAGGUCUAAUUGGAAACAAAAUUCAUGAGGCAUGAAAAAAUGGGUUGUAGCAUACAACUGGUUGAAAAUGUAAAGAUUUUUCUUUUGUGGAUUUCUAUCAGGUGAUCAACUAGCUAUAGGAAAGGAAACCGAUUGCUGUCUGGGAAUGGGCACCAACAUGUACCCGUCAUCAGCUUUGUUAGGACAGAACAAGGACGAGUCAAUUGCUGCUUUGCCAAUCGAUGAGCUGAUAGAGAAGGCCGAUGGUUUUGCUAAUGUUUUCCCUGAAUGCAAAAUUGAAGGGGACUAAUGGUACUACGAAAGAAAGUUCCAAGGUCUGGCAAACAAGAAGACUGUACUGAUUCAGCCAGCAGGGAAAGAUCUUUCUAUUGUGCUUGCAACGACGAAGACAAAGAACCAAAACCAUCCUGCAAAUAUGUACCAUAGGUCAGUCAUGAAGAAGGAAUUCCGACAAAUGGCAAAGGCAGUUGUUAACUGGACUGGAGAUUUGUGGUUUGAUGGUCGUGAGCGCAUUCGUCACACACGAGACUGGCUCUUACAACUUAAGGAGGUUGUAGAUGUUCCUGAAGAUAUCUUGAAAAUCAAACAAGACAUUGAGUCUGAACUUUUUGGUGAUGAUUAGAGUUCAAGCAAUUUGAGGACUUCCUCUUCUUUGCAAGGACUCACUAGAGUAUGUUUCUAAAAUUGUGGAUGUUCUUGGACAACUCCUCAUAGCUGAGGAAAAUGUGGAGCGUGAUGCAGUGCAAAAAGCCCUUUUGUCUCUUUUAAGGCAGGAUCCAAAAGGCAAUUUGCUGUAAUGUUAAUAUAUCUUGAAAUCUUUAGUUGCCUACUGAUUUUUUUACUUCAAUAAGAUGUUG